GACGAACGCUGGCGGCGUGCUUAACACAUGCAAGUCGAACGGAAAGGCCUCUUUCGGGGGGUACUCGAGUGGCGAACGGGUGAGUAACACGUGAGUAACCUGCCCUUGACUUUGGGAUAACUACAGGAAACUGGGGCUAAUACCGGAUAGGAGCUCCUGCUGCAUGGUGGGGGUUGGAAAGUUUCGGCGGUUGGGGAUGGACUCGCGGCUUAUCAGCUUGUUGGUGGGGUAGUGGCUUACCAAGGCUUUGACGGGUAGCCGGCCUGAGAGGGUGACCGGCCACAUUGGGACUGAGAUACGGCCCAGACUCCUACGGGAGGCAGCAGUGGGGAAUAUUGCACAAUGGGUGGAAGCCUGAUGCAGCAACGCCGUGUGCGGGAUGACGGCCUUCGGGUUGUAAACCGCUUUCGCUCAUGACGAAGCUUUGUGUGACGGUAGUGGGUAAAGAAGCACCGGCUAACUACGUG
rnacentral:rRNA from 1 species